rnacentral:rRNA from 1 species
UACGGGGGGGGCAAGCGUUGUUCGGAAUUACUGGGCGUAAAGGGCUCGUAGGCGGCCAACUAAGUCGGAUGUGAAAUCCCCAGGCUUAACCUGGGAACUGCAUCCGAUACUGGAUGGCUUGAAUCCGGGAGAGGGAUGCAGAAUUCCAGGUGUAGCGGUGAAAUGCGUAGAUAUCUGGAGGAAUACCGGUGGCGAAGGCGACAUCCUGGACCGGCAUUGACGCUGAGGAGCGAAAGCUAGGGGAGCAAACGGG